GUUAAUUCUGAUAUGCAAAUAAUUAACGAUGCAAGUUUGCAAUAUAUUGUUAGAGUUCUUGCCAAUCAUGAGAUUCUAGGGAUAAAAAGAAGGAAGACACAUAAGAUUCUCAAUGGAAGUGUUUCACAGUAUUGGACAAGCUAAUUUGUAUAUAUUUCUAUGCUUGAAAAUUGAAGUAAUUUGCAUCAUUGAAAGAGUUUCUAAUUCUUGUACAGG
rnacentral:misc_RNA from 1 species